rnacentral:rRNA from 1 species
AUUGAACGCUGGCGGCAUGCCUUACACAUGCAAGUCGAACGGCAGCACGGGAGCAAUCCUGGUGGCGAGUGGCGAACGGGUGAGUAAUAUAUCGGAACGUGCCCAGUCGUGGGGGAUAACGCAGCGAAAGCUGUGCUAAUACCGCAUACGAACUGUGAAUGAAAGCGGGGGACUCUCAAGGGCCUCGCGCGAUUGGAGCGGCCGAUAUCAGAUUAACUGGUUGGUGGGGUAAAGGCCCACAAAGGCGACGAUCUGUAGCUGGUCUGAGAGGACGACCAGCCACACUGGAACUGAGACACGGUCCAGACUCCUACGGGAGGCAGCAGUGGGGAAUUUUGGACAAUGGGCGCAAGCCUGAUCCAGCAAUGCCGCGUGCAGGAUGAAGGCCUUCGGGUUGUAAACUGCUUUUGUACGGAGCGAAACGGUCUGCCCUAAUACGGUGGGCUAAUGACGGUACCGUAAGAAUAAGCACCGGCUAACUACGUGCCAGCAGCAGCCGCCGUAA